UCCUAUCAUUCUUUCCUCUCUAAUGCUCGUUCUGCUGCUCGUAUGGAGGCCGCCGCCGCCUGCACACCAUGGCCCUAGGGCCGGCGCCCCCUCCUAAUCUGCCUAAGCUCAAGCCUUCUCCGAGGUGCCGCAUCAACUCGUUUUAGCUGACGCAGAGCUGCGGUGUUGCUUGCAUUGGGGAUCUGCGGUAGAGGCGAGGUGAGGAGGAGGCAAUGCUAUGAACUGCGUUUGGGCUGAUAUCAUCGCCGGGAAACAAUUUGGAGUUUUUUUUUGCUCAUCUCAUUCUUAUUUUUGCAGCCGACCCGCUAUGCUACUGGGAGAAGGCACCAGUACCCAGCCCACAAUGGCAGCCUCACCCACCAGGCAAACAACCGCAGACAAUAAGAUUCUUCCAAGGAACACAAUAAGAGGCUGAAGAAUAAUUGAGUUGUGAACUCCAAAUGUUAGAAUUUAUGUACAUGUGAACUUAGUAUUUGUGAACUAAAUGUACCUGUCAACUCUGUAGAUGUGAGCUAUUUGUGAACCCAGUAACCAGCCCACGAUGGCAGCCUUUUCAGAAACAAAGUCGAUUUCAAACAUUUGUGAAAUAUCUAAUGCAAGCCAAGAUAUUGCAUCACAUUGAAGUGCCAAUUUCAGCCAACAUUAAUUUCAUUGAAAGAGAGUCACAAUUACAUUCAGAGCCUGAUAUUACAUUGCUAAAAUUCUAGAACCUACAUCACUAUAAGCAGCACUACCUAACCAAAGAACACUAGAAUGCCGAUGACAAUGCUGAUCAUCACCAGAGCCCGAACCAAAUUAAUUAACUUGUCGAUCUUUCUUUCAUCACACAAAUUGGUCAUCCUCUGCAAACCUGACCC
rnacentral:lncRNA from 1 species